rnacentral:misc_RNA from 1 species
AACGCACAUUGCGCCCGCCAGUAUUCUGGCGGGCAUGCCUGUCCGAGCGUCAUUUCAACCCCUCGAGCCCCCCCGGGGGCUCGGCGUUGGGGACCGGCCCCGCCCCGCCGCGGGUCGCCGCCCCCGAAAUACAGUGGCGGUCUCGCCGCAGCCUCCCCUGCGCAGUAGCUUUUUGUUUUUUUCCUCAAAGAACCUCGCACCGGAGCGCGGCGCGGCCACGCCGUUAAACCCCCCGUACCUUCUGAAAUGUUGACCUCGGAUCAGGUAGGAAUACCCGCUGAACUUAA